UUUGAGCAAUAUCAAGGGUGACCUCAUGACACAGUCGAGUUGAAGGUGAGGGAGUAAAAUAAAUGCUACAUUAGCCCGUGUCCAAAGUCUUCAAAGUGAUUAUUUUUGUUUGCAUCUCUCUCCCCAAAGUACUUGUCACUAUCUAAUGCUAUUUUGUGCUUUUGUUACAGAAUUUCAUAAAUGGAAAGCAGAAGAAGAGGGUACCAAAAAGUGCUGGUUCAUUUUGCCCACGGACCCCAAAAAGCUGGCCAGUGGAGAGACAAGGAUCCACUUUUACUGUAAUAGAUCAGGCGAGGCAAGGAAAAAGGAAGGUCAUAGUGAACGUCGGGAGAAAAGUCAGGGGAGCUGUAGGUCUGAUCUUGUGCUAUGAGAUGAGGAGGUGUAAAAUAAAAACACCGUGUAGAUUUCACAAUGCCUUUAAAAAACCACGCAAAGCUUGGAGAUGAAGCAUUACAUGCAACUUGAACCAAGUGUCUGGACACAGUGAGUGAAAGUUGUUUUGUCAUGAGCGAGGGUGUCGGUGUUACUUUUAACUACCUUGAAAUAAAAGUUUGUUUCAAAACAGUG
rnacentral:lncRNA from 1 species